AUGUAUCUUUAAUGUUAUACACAUCACUACGCUAUUGCACACCGGCUUCACCUUUAACAUGUUUGACAUGUAUAUUUUACACAAAUAACACCAAACAUAUUGACAUUGGAUUUUACCUUAUCAAUAUACGAAAAUUAAGGGAAGUUUAGUUAACCAGCGGAGAAGGGGGAGCAGGAACAGAUAAUCAGUGCUGAUAAAAAUUACUUGAAAAUUUGUGCCAACCAAUUAGUCUAAGAGGCUUUGUGGCCAUUCUGACAACCUUCAUUGGCCAUCGGACACAAUUUUGGAAAAUGGCAGCCUAGAGGAAUGUCUAUCAAGUUUGGUUUGAAUGGGCCAAUCAGUUUUUGCCGAAACUUUGUCAACCAAUUACAGGUUAUGGUAGCCACGUUUAUAAAUUUGUCGAAAUAAUCAGUUGCAGUUUUGGCGGAGGAUCAUUCCAGAAACAUUUCUACCAUCUAAUUUCAUACCUACAUUUCGUAGUUUUUGACGAGAUGUCGACCGCCCAAGGGCUUUGAUGGCCAUUUUUUUAAAUUGGAUAUGGCUGUCAGAUAAAAUGUUUGUAGUGAACCAGAGAACGAGCAUUUCUAUGCGGGUCAUUUAAAGAAAAAUAUCGCAAUUGCAAAAUUUACUUUAAACUAUAGUAACAGGGUAGACAGUAACACUAUAGACAAAUUUCUAUAUUUAUGAAUGCUGUUGUGAAAUAACUAUACUCCAUGUGUUGCAGUGAUAAUAGUUUUCUUCUGCGGGCUUUGUUUCCAACACAUAAUUACAUUUGUAUUGUUGUCAUUUAUAAAUUUGUUGGCAACAGCAUAGACAUGACAAAAGGGUACGCACUUAUUUUUUUUACCCAAGAUUUUGAAUCCUUUGUCUUCGCUGUGAUGUAAGAAAAGUGUUGUGUGUACAUUUUUUAGGAUCUUUGUGCUUUUAAAUCAUUACUAAAUAGUUUAAUAUCCAAAAGGUAUAAAAUAAUUUACCGGUUGAUCUAGUAUCGGUAACAGGAUAGAUAUGCAUUUCAUGAACGUCGAUUGAAAUUAGCUUGUAAAAAAACGUGUUACAUAGAAUGAUAAAGGAACUGUGAUACAUGUAUGUCAUUAAAGUCUAUAUUAACAUUCUAUAAUAGUUCAUUUUGCAGAUUUCAAGGCAAUCAGAAAAACCAGCAAAAAAAUAAUAUGAAAUCUGUUACCCUGACACUGCAUGUACGCCUAUAAAUUACGUAUAAAACUUACUUAAAUAUUAUAUUUUAAUCACAUAUAAAUGGAUCUAAUAAA